rnacentral:lncRNA from 1 species
AUUAUUCAGGUCCGUUUUCAUUAUUCUCCAGUUUAUAGCCUCACGCAUAUAAAUCCCUUUCUGACUUAAGUAUCGGAGGGGCGACGAGAACAUACCUCGUUGCCUUUAUUUCAGGUACCGGAAGACUACGAUCGUACUUAAUCAAGAUCAUCAAGCUCGAAAAAUUAACAGGCACGAUUUUUGGUAGCAUCACCAGGGUUUCGUUAAAAAAUGCCCAUCCAAAAAUCAGACUCAAAAGUAGAUGCGCGCUUGAAGAAUCUCCGCAAAAUGGGCGCCAUGGUGGAGCCAUAGCCUCUUUAGACUCCACAGUCCAAUGCGGAUCUAUGGCAAGGCUCAAAACUCUUUCACACCUGAUUGACUCUAGUUCGCUUGACUUAUGUUAUAAGCUACCUGGCAAUGUAAGGAAAUUGCUUAAAGAAUCAGACCCUGUUGUUGAAACCAUGUUAGUAUGUUAGUGUGGUCACUGGAAAAUGCAUUUGUAGUGUUCGAUGCAAUGAGAGACAGGAAUUUGUAUGUGUGGUCUGCGAUAAUUGGGGCAUGCUAGAGGGAGAGGGAGAGAGAGCGGGUGAAGGUGUGUUACUUUUUUAUUGAUGAUGGGGAUUGAUAAUAUUGUUCCGAUUGACUUUUGUUUCCCAAGAUUUUAGAAGCUUGUGGGAACUGUGGUGAUAUGGAGACGGGGAGAUUGAUUCCGGCGAAGUUAUUGGGUGGGAUGAGGCCAUCUUCAACGUUGCACCAAAAUUUGCACCAUUUUGUAUCAAAUUUUAUACCAAACCAAAAUUUUUCUCCAAC